UAUAAUUAUAGGGUUAAUUGUAUACAGGUCCUUGCAAAUAUAGUAAAUUAUAAAUAUAUUCAUGUAAAGUUCAACUUUCAUAUGUUGUUUCUGCAAAAGUUCUGAUAUUUUCAAAUAUGUUUCUGUCGUUAGAAUUCGUUAGAAAAAUUUAGUUAAUUAUGGGUUAAAUAAUUAGUUAAUGAGCUGAAUUGACCUUUUUACCUCUCUUUAAUUAACAGUUGGAACUUUUGGAGGAACAUUUGUGAUGACAAAAAAAUUAUUUCACUUAUAAAAUAGACAGUAUUUUAACGAUAAUAAAACAGAGGGACAUAUUUGAAAAUAUUUAGAAUUUUGCAGGGACAAUAUAUAAAAGUUGAAUUUUGUAGAGAUAUAUUUUAGAAUUUACUAUAUUUGCAAGGAUCUGUAUAAAAUUAACCAUAUAUUAUAUAUGUAUAGAAUAUAGAUAG
rnacentral:lncRNA from 1 species